rnacentral:tRNA from 1 species
AUAGCUCAAUGGUAGAGCAUUGGACUGGAAUGCUCUAAACCUUGGGUUCGAUUCCCAUU